UUAAGUGAAUAAGGGCGCACGGUGGAUGCCUUGGCACUAGGAGCCGAUGAAGGACGGGACUAACACCGAUAUGCUUUGGGGAGCUGUACGUAAGCUAUGAUCCAGAGAUUUCCGAAUGGGGGAACCCAACAUCUUUAAUAGGAUGUUACGAUUGUGUGAAUACAUAGCACAUUCGAGGUAGACGCAGAGAACUGAAACAUCUAAGUACCUGCAGGAAGAGAAAGAAAAUUCGAUUCCCUGAGUAGCGGCGAGCGAAACGGGAAAAGCCCAAACCAGCAAGCUUGCUUGUUGGGGUUGUAGGACUCCAAUAUGGUAGUUCUUUCAGAUAGUCGAAUGACUUGGAAAAGUCAGUCAAAGAGGGUAAAAACCCCGUAGACGAAAUGUGGAAGACACCUAGGAGGAUCCUGAGUACGGCGGAACACGAGAAAUUCCGUCGGAAUCCGGGAGGACCAUCUCCCAAGGCUAAAUACUCCCUAGUGACCGAUAGUGAACCAGUACCGUGAGGGAAAGGUGAAAAGCACCCCGGAAGGGGAGUGAAAUAGAACCUGAAACCGUGUGUCUACAACAAGUCAAAGCCCGUUAAUGGGUGAUGGCGUGCCUUUUGUAGAAUGAACCGGCGAGUUACGAUUGCAUGCGAGGUUAAGUUGAAGAGACGGAGCCGCAGCGAAAGCGAGUCUGAAUAGGGCGUUUGAGUAUGUAGUCGUAGACCCGAAACCAUGUGAUCUACCCAUGUCCAGGUUGAAGGUGCGGUAAAACGCACUGGAGGACCGAACCCACGUACGUUGAAAAGUGCGGGGAUGAGGUGUGGGUAGCGGAGAAAUUCCAAACGAACUUGGAGAUAGCUGGUUCUCUCCGAAAUAGCUUUAGGGCUAGCCUCGGAAUUGAGAAUGAUGGAGGUAGAGCACUGUUUGGACUAGGGGCCCAUCUCGGGUUACCGAAUUCAGAUAAACUCCGAAUGCCAUUCAUUCAUAUCCGGGAGUCAGACUGUGAGUGAUAAGAUCCAUAGUCGAAAGGGAAACAGCCCAGACCACCAGCUAAGGUCCCAAAAUAUAUGUUAAGUGGAAAAGGAUGUGGGGUUGCACAGACAACUAGGAUGUUGGCUUAGAAGCAGCCAUCAUUUAAAGAGUGCGUAAUAGCUCACUAGUCGAGUGACCCUGCGCCGAAAAUGUACCGGGGCUAAACAUAUUACCGAAGCUGUGGAGUACACCUUUAGGUGUAUUGGUAGGAGAGCGUUCUAAGGGCGUUGAAGGCAGAUCGUGAGGACUGCUGGAGCGCUUAGAAGUGAGAAUGCCGGUAUGAGUAGCGAAAGACAGGUGAGAAUCCUGUCCACCGAAUGACUAAGGUUUCCUGGGGAAGGCUCGUCCGCCCAGGGUUAGUCGGGACCUAAGCCGAGGCCGACAGGCGUAGGCGAUGGAUAACAGGUUGAUAUUCCUGUACCCGUUGUUUUUGUUUGAGCAAUGGAGGGACGCAGGAGGCUAAGGAAUGCAGACGAUCGGAAAUGUCUGUCCAAGCAGUAAGUCUGAAGAGGAGUCAAAUGCUUCUUUUCUUAAGGACAAGCUGUGAUGGGGAGGGAAAUAAUAGUACCGAAGUUCCUGAUGUCACACUGCCGAGAAAAGCUUCUAGUGAGAAAACAGCGGCCCGUACCGCAAACCGACACAGGUAGUCGAGGAGAGAAUCCUAAGGUGAGCGAGAGAACUCUCGUUAAGGAACUCGGCAAAAUGACCCCGUAACUUCGGGAGAAGGGGUGCUGAUCAUACGAUCAGCCGCAGUGAAUAGGCCCAAGCGACUGUUUAUCAAAAACACAGGUCUCUGCAAAAUCGUAAGAUGAAGUAUAGGGGCUGACGCCUGCCCGGUGCUGGAAGGUUAAGAGGAGUGCUUAGCGCAAGCGAAGGUACGAAUUGAAGCCCCAGUAAACGGCGGCCGUAACUAUAACGGUCCUAAGGUAGCGAAAUUCCUUGUCGGGUAAGUUCCGACCCGCACGAAAGGCGUAACGAUUUGGGCACUGUCUCAACGAGAGACUCGGUGAAAUUUUAGUACCUGUGAAGAUGCAGGUUACCCGCGACAGGACGGAAAGACCCCAUGGAGCUUUACUGUAGUUUGAUAUUGAGUGUCUGUACCGCAUGUACAGGAUAGGUAGGAGCCGUAGAAAUCGGAACGCUAGUUUCGAUGGAGGCGCUGGUGGGAUACUACCCCUGCGUUAUGGCCACUCUAACCCGCACCACUAAUCGUGGUGGGAGACAGUGUCAGAUGGGCAGUUUGACUGGGGCGGUCGCCUCCUAAAAGGUAACGGAGGCGCCCAAAGGUUCCCUCAGAAUGGUUGGAAAUCAUUCGAAGAGUGUAAAGGCAGAAGGGAGCUUGACUGCGAGACCAACAAGUCGAGCAGGGACGAAAGUCGGGCUUAGUGAUCCGGUGGUUCCGCAUGGAAGGGCCAUCGCUCAACGGAUAAAAGCUACCCUGGGGAUAACAGGCUUAUCUCCCCCAAGAGUCCACAUCGACGGGGAGGUUUGGCACCUCGAUGUCGGCUCGUCGCAUCCUGGGGCUGUAGUCGGUCCCAAGGGUUGGGCUGUUCGCCCAUUAAAGCGGCACGCGAGCUGGGUUCAGAACGUCGUGAGACAGUUCGGUCCCUAUCCGUCGCGGGCGUUGGAAAUUUGAGAGGAGCUGUCCUUAGUACGAGAGGACCGGGAUGGACUUACCGCUGGUGUACCAGUUGUUCUGCCAAGGGCAUUGCUGGGUAGCUAUGUAGGGAAGGGAUAAACGCUGAAAGCAUCUAAGUGUGAAGCCCACCUCAAGAUGAGAUUUCCCAUUUCUUUAAGAAAGUAAGAUCCCUGAGAGAUGAUCAGGUAGAUAGGUCAGGAGUGGAAGUACAGUGAUGUAUGGAGCGGACUGAUACUAAUCGAUCGAGGACUUAACCAA
rnacentral:rRNA from 1 species